rnacentral:rRNA from 1 species
CUGGCGGCAGGCUUACACCUGCAAGUCUAGCGGAGAUAGAGGUGCUUGCACCUUAUCUUAACGGCGGACGGGUGAGUAAUGCUUAGGAAUCUGCCAUUUAGUGGGGGACAACAUAUCCGAAAGGAAUGCUAAUACCGCAUACGUACCUACGGGAGAAAGCAGGGAUCUCUCGGACCUUGCGCUAAAUGAUGAGCCUAAGUCGGAUUAGCUAGAUUGUGUGGGGUAAAGUGCCUACCAAGUGGCGACGAUCUGUAGACGGGUCUGAGAGGAUGAUCCGCACACUGGGACUGAGACAUCGGCCAGACUCCUACGGGAGGCACCCAGUGGGGAAUAUUGGACAAUGGGCGGAAGACCUGAUCCAGACCAUGCCGCGUGUGUGAAGAAGGCCUAUAUUGGUUGUAAAAGCACCUUUAACAGCGAGGAGGAGGCUACCUGGAUUAAUACUCUGGGGUAGUGGACAGUUACUCGCAGAAUAAGCACCGGCUAAACUCUGUGCCAGGCAAGCCCGGCGGGUAAUACAAGAAGGGGUUGCGAGCGUUAAAUCGGAUUUAACUGGGGCGUAACAAGACGUGCGUAGGGCGGCUGUCUAAAGUCGGACAUGUGAAAUCCCCGAGCUUAACUUUCAGAAUUGCCUUUCGAUAACUGGGAAAGCUAAAAGAUAUGGGAAGCAGGAUAGGUAGAAAUCCAAGGUGUCAGCGGUGAAAUGCGUAGAGAUCUGGAGGA